rnacentral:rRNA from 1 species
AUGAAAGGUAGCCUUUGCCAUGACUUCGAGACAGGCCUCCCCGCGGCGGAGGUAUGGGAGAUGUAUCGAGGUCUCCGUAUUAGCCAGGUAGUUCCUCAAUUGCUUCCCGAUAUCUUCAAAAAGGCCGAGCUUGUUGAAGGAGAUGGCGGUGUCGGGACAGUUUUGCAUCUCACCUUUUCUCAUGGGGUUGCUCCAUUAGAAUAUCAAAAGGAAAAGUUCAUCAAGAUUGACCAUGAAAACUAUGUCAAGGAGGCCAUAAUAGUAGAAGGAGGCCUUCUAGAUCAUGGAUUUCUGAAAUAUUUGAUGAGAAUUGAGAUUAUAGGGCAAAGCGAUAAAACAUCUACAAUAAGGUCAACCAUCGAAUAUGAAGUUGAUGACGAAAAGACAGGCAACACAUCCUUUGUCAGCACCAGUGCACUAGCUUGCCUGGCUGAGGCAAUCACAGAGUAUAUCAAGGCACAGAAAAGCGCCUGA